UACGGGGGGGGCAAGCGUUGUUCGGAAUUACUGGGCGUAAAGGGCUCGUAGGCGGCCAACUAAGUCGGAUGUGAAAUCCCCAGGCUUAACCUGGGAACUGCAUCCGAUACUGGAUGGCUUGAAUUCGGGAGAGGGAUGCAGAAUUCCAGGUGUAGCGGUGAAAUGCGUAGAGAUCAGCAGGAAUACCCGUGGCGAAGGCGGCCCCCUGGGCCGAACCUGACGCUGAGGCGCGAAGGCUAGGGGAGCGAACGGG
rnacentral:rRNA from 1 species